AUCAAUGGCCGUGCUACAUUAAAUAAGCAUGAUCCCAUCUGAUCUCAGAAGCUAAGCAGGGUCGGGCCUGGUUAGUACUUGGAUGGGAGACCACCUAGAAAGACCAGGUGCUGUAGGUG
ensembl:rRNA 5S_rRNA 5S ribosomal RNA